rnacentral:rRNA from 1 species
GAUUGAAAUGGGCGCAGCCUGAUCCAGCNUCCCGCGUGUGNNAAGAAGGCCUGCGGGUUCCAAGCACUUUAAGCCGGAAAGAAGGGCGAGGUGAUAACACCACUUCGCAUUGACNUUACCGGCAGAAUAAGCACCGGCUAACUCCGUGCCAGCAGCCGCGGUAAUACGGAGGGUGCGAGCGUUAAUCGGAAUUACUGGGCGUAAAGCGCGCGUAGGCGGUUGGGCAAGUCCGUCGUGAAAGCCCUGGGCUUAACCUGGGAAUGGCGGUGGAAACGGUCCGGCUAGAGUGUGAGAGAGGGGAGUGGAAUUUCCGGUGUAGCAGUGAAAUGCGUAGAGAUCGGAAGGAACAUCCGUGGCGAAGGCGGCUCCCUGGCUCAACACUGACGCUGAGGUGCNNAAAGCGUGGGGAGCAAACAGGAUUAGAUACCCUGGUAGUCCACGCGGUAAACGAUGAGAACUAGCCGUUGGGGAUGUUAUAAGUCUUUAGUGGCGCANNUNACGCGAUAAGUUCUCCGCCUGGGGAGUACGGCCGCAAGGUUAAAACUCAAAAAGAAUUGACGGAA